rnacentral:rRNA from 1 species
ACUUCUGUCCGAAAUCAAGUGAUAUUGAACAAUCUAGCUGAUCGCACGGUCAAAGCACCGGCGACAUAUCCUUCAAAUGUCUGCCUUAUCAACUUUCGAUGGUAGAUUAUGCGCCUACCAUGGUUGUAACGGGUAACGGAGAAUCAGGGUUUGAUUCCGGAGAGGGAGCCUGAGAAACGGCUACCACAUCCAAGGAAGGCAGCAGGCACGCAAAUUACCCAAUUUCAGCGUGAAGAGGUAGUGACGAAAAAUAACAAGCUGGUCUCAAUGAGUUCCGGCAUUGUAAUGGGAACAAUUUAAAUCAUUUAUCGAGGAUCUAUUGGAGGGCAAGUCUGGUGCCAGCAGCCGCGGUAAUUCCAGCUCCAAUAGCGUAUAUUAAAGUUGUUGCGGUUAAAAAGCUCGUAGUUGGAUCUAGGACUAGGGCUAUGGUCGUUCAGCUUGGACGUACUGUAUGCCCGACUCCUUUUCUCUAGUAUUCGA